AUUGCUUCUCGAAUAACCGAUUGCAGAUUCCAGUUCCCAUUCGGUUCAGACAGGGGCAUAUAACAAAUUUGAAUCCUUCCAUUUUUUAUGAUAAGGAUGCUCUGAUUUAUAUCCAUCCUUGCUCAGAUGGAUUCAUAUAGAC
rfam:Brachypodium distachyon strain Bd21 chromosome 1, whole genome shotgun sequence.